rnacentral:rRNA from 1 species
CAAUAGCGUAUAUUUAAGUUGCUGCAGUUAAAAAGCUCGUAGUUGAAUUUAUGAAGAUAUUUUGUAGUUAAGAUCCGAUCCACGGUCUUGAUCUAUAGAUAUUCUUUACUAAUUGCUAUAUAGACACGAGGUGUUUUUUUUAUGCAACUCGUGGUUUUUAUGUAGUUUGGUUACUGUGAGUAAAUUAAAAUGUUCAAAGUAGGCGGUCGCUAUGAAUAUAUUAGCAUGGAAUAACAUUAUAGUACUUCAAUCUAUUUUGCUGACCUGUUAGACUGGAGUAACGAUUAAUAGGGACAGUUGGGGGCAUUCGUAUUUCAUUGUCAGAGGUGUAAUUCAUAGAUUGAUGAAAGACGAACUACUGCGAAGGCAUUUGUCAAGGAUGUUUUCAUUAA